GCAAAUGUCAGAAUUAAGAAAAUCAUCAUAGGCCUUGUGAUUUAAUUGGACGCCAUUGAAUUUUUGUCUUGUACUUGUUUUGUUUUAUUAGUAAGGGAUUUCAUUGUGGUUGUUUCAAAUAGUAUUCUGGUACUGGUGUCGAGAAUCAGUAAUAAAUUAUAGUGAUCAGUAUUUGAUGGGACUUAUUAUAUAUAUAUAUAUAUACCUAGCCAGCAUAUCAACUUUUGUUUUCGACUCUGCACCUUUCCUGGCCAAGUUGCAAUGGGCUGCAUCGAAAGCUUUCUAAUUAGUCUAUUUAUUUCCUUCUUCAAGUGACAUAGAUGCUUUCUAAAAUAUCUUUCUGACAAGAAUAAGGAACACAUAGCCCUAGUUGGAUGGAAUAGAUUUACUGAUCUGCCAAAAGAUGAUGGCACCGCUAGUGAUUUGAAAUCGAAAUGGGGUGGGUUACUUGGACUAUGACUUUGUCCCACACCAAUUAUAUUAAAUGUUAAAUAAAAAUUUAUUUUAAUAAUUUUUUUUUUCAUUUUUAGCUUUAUAUAUAUAAUAUUUAUUUACUUAUAAAUUGUGUUUAGUUUUAAUAGAAUUUAAUAUUUUAAAAGUAAAAUAAUCAUAAAAAUUUUGAGACAAUUAAAAAAUAAAAAAUUAAAUGGGACGAAGUGGGUAUAGGAAUUUCCUACACCCAUCCCCCUUCCCUUGGCCUGUUUAAAAUUUUUUUGUUAGUAGGGAUGAAAAUUGAUUUAAAUAAAUAUGACAGAUUUGGGAUGAGGUGACUUGUUCUGAACUUGGUCAAUUGUCAUCCUUACUAAUGAUAAAAAAAGAACAACUUAUAACAAGUUCCCAUAUGUCAGUGCUAUGAGAAGAAAUUUAGUAUUGAACGUCUCAUUUUUGUGAUAAAGUUGCCUCAAAUCAAAGUCUUUGAAAUUGGUUAGAAUAUAUUGAAGAUCAAGUUUCACAUCAUAUGAAAUGUAAUAAAGUUAUAUAGGGAAUUUUGAUCUAAAUUAAUUCUGCUUUAAUCAUUCAUAUACAUUAUCCAUUUCUUAUUAAUUUAAAUAACAUUCUUAAAUAUCUUGUAAGAGAGGAGGUUAUACUUGAAAAUAGACCUGAUUAAUAGAUCAAUCAUGCAGGGAUAUUGAUCUAUUCUAUUCUAAUAUGUAAAAGAAUGAAAUGUUUUCCAAUUUGUUGUACCAAAAUGUCUUAUAAUAUUUUUAUCUUUAUACUUUUAUAGUAUGAUCUUCUUACUAAUUAAGUAAUUAAUUUUCAUCCUAUGUCAACUGAAGUUAUUCCUAAGUUAAGGCAUUGUUUGGACACUAUUUAUUUUGAUCCUGCUAAAGAUGUGAGCCCUAAACACGAACGAAUAUAACUAAUAUUCAAUAUAUUUGUAGAGAGAUGAACAAGCAGUUUGCUAAGAUUUGUUAAAUGGAAAAUAAGCCAAUAUCAAUAAAGAUUGUAACAAGAUUAAUGUUUAUGUCCUUUAGUGGAUUGGACAAGAUAUAUAUGCUUUGGUUGCCCAUGUAUAGAUUGCAUUUUUAGGCUAUGCUCGAUUUUGGGAAAAUUUGAAGGAAAUAAAAUAGGAAGGAAAGGUGAAAGAAAAUAAGAAAUAGAUUUCAAAUCAAUAAAAAAAAAUUAUAUGCUUCUUUAAACUCAUUUAAGUUAUUUUAUUUUUUUAUUAUAUAAAGAUCAAGGAUGAAAAUUUCCAUAUAUACCAACAAAAUAUGGUCGAUAUAUUGCAUAUCAACGGUCAUAGAAUCGAAACAGGGUAUUGAAAUGUCAACCAGGAAAAAUUUCCAAAAAAGAUCGGCAUAUAUCGACAAUUACCGAUAAAUCGGCAAAAUCAAGAAAGAAUCAUCGAUAUUUGAGUGAAAUUUGAACAAUAAAUUGCCAACUUUUAAAGAAAAAUCACUGUGUGAAGGGGAAACUUUAAAAAAGAAAAAAGAAAAAAGAGAUUAAUCAUAGGUGAUUUUGACUUCGAUUCCAUCUUUUAAUUAAAGGCAAAAUUAUAAAAUUAUCUUAAACAAACUCUUAAUUAUAGAAGGUCAAAUCCGAAAAGUUAGAUUUCAAAGGAAACACGAAUCUCAUUUUCCUUGUCCAGGAAGUAUACAACUACCCUAUUCUUUUUUUUCUUGCUCACUUUAGUAAUUUUGAGCCAUUCAUAAUUUAUUAUUCUUUCCUAUGUUUGUUUCAAUUAUAAGAAUUCUCGGACUCAACUCUCACUUUCAUCCAUUUCGUUUUCUUUUCAAGGACCGGACCGGUCUUACCACGCUGAUUGAUAUGAGAAGGAAUGGAACUUUGUUGUUCUUUUUUUUACUUUUAUGAAUUGAGCUAAAAUUAUGCGAUUGAAUUUUUAGUAAGUUAAAUUAAGGGUUGGUUUGGGAUCAUUUCUUAUUUUUUAUUUUACGCCAAACUUGUAGUUGAAGUUCAUAAUUUUUAAAAAGUAAUAUUAGUAAUUUUUUUUAUUAAACAUAAAAAAAUUUCUUAUAUAAGAUUAAAUAAAACUUUUAUAAAAAGUAGCAUUUUUAAAAUUUUUAUAUUAAUCUUUUUAAAAAUUUGCAAGCUUGAAUAAAGUUAUCUAAAUUAGUAUAAAAGCUCUAAUUAAAUUUAUAAGAGUUUCUUAGAAUUGCAUCCAAACAUAACUUAAAUAAGUAUGUUAAAGUUAAAUUUUGAUACACUCAUUUGCUGAAGUGAUCUUUCAGAUGGUAGGGAUGGGUUCUUUGUCAUUUUUUUUUAUGAUGACACAAUAAGACUUUAUUCCUUAUCAUUUUCAUGUAGCUUCAUAAUAAGUGUACACUUGCAAAAUUCACAUUUCUAAUCGAUUGAUAUGAUACAAUUAAAUUUAAUAUCACAAAUCAUAUUAUACAUAUAUCAAAUUAUUUAACAAAACAACUUUAAAAUAUUUAUUAUACUUCUAAUUACAUUUUUAUGAGAUUUUUCUUACAUUUCUAUGAAUUUUGAUCAAUUUUAGGCAUAUGACCGAUUUUUUUCCCAAAAUAUCCGCUAAUAUAUUUUUGAUAUAUUUAUGAUUACCGAUAUUUUCAUUCUUGAUAAAGAUUAAAUAAUUUUCAAAUACUUAAAUUUAUAAUUAAUUUUAAUUAUAUUUGAUUUUAUUUCCUAUUUUUAAUAAUGAAAUCAAAUAUAAGAAAACCAUUUCUCUUAAAUUUUUUUUCUUUUUUCAGUAUUUUUUAAGAACCAAACAUAGCCUCGGUGUAUUAAUUAUAUUGUUUUAGGUCUAAGAAUAUUGUAUUGGUUCGUAAAACCCCACACCACUAAAUCAUAUAAAUAUGAAUUUGAUGCCAUGUAAAUUUGUUUGUCUUUAAUAUAUAUGGCUGAGAUUAGAUAUGAUGUUUGUGGAUAUUUUACUCCUAAAUUUCUAUUUUUAAUAUAUAUAUAUAUAUAGUUGAACUUUUUGCCAUCCAAUUUGUAUAGUUGAAAUAAGAGAUGACACUGCUGAUAUUACUCUCAAGGCCAAGAACCUAUCCUAUCAUUACCGUAGAUCACUUAAUUGAUACAUACUUUUCUUUGCGUUUUUCUUCAUUUUAUCUAAAAACGAGGGGAGAUCAAAUUAAGAAGGUGUAAUUGAUUAAACAUACCUCUAGCGGACACACAUAGAAGAAAAUGGCAAGCUUUAUACAUCAAUAUGAGGAAACUUCUUCUUUCUAUCUACAUUCCUUAUCUCUUCUUCUUCCCUUGUUGGUCUUCACAUGCGUCUUCAUCAAAUGUAUUUAGAGUACUAGCCCUCCAAUCACAAAAAAAAAAAAAAAAAAGCUACCUCCUCCUCCAAAGUUCCCAAUAAUUGGAAACCUCCACCAACUCGACUCACUAUCUCAUCGAUCUCUAUGGUCCAUGGCUUAGCGACAUAGCUCCUUUAUGCAACUCCAUUUUGUAGCCUUCUAGUGGUUAUCAUCUUCUUUGCGGAGGCAGCAAAAGAGAUCAUGAAGACUCAAGAUGUCUUUGCUGGGCUAAGUUUGUUCUCAUGAAAGCUUCUUAAGCCCAUAUAUGAAGUUAUUUUAUAUUUGGGUAUUUUCUAAGCCUAUAUAUAAAUAGCAUUAGGGAUUUGGUAUGAGGGGAGAAGGGGGUGAUUAAGAAAAUGAGAGGAAAUUAGGUUUGUUUUAUGAGUACUGUUCUAGGGCUCAAGGGUGAAGUUACAUGUUCUUUCAUCAACCUUUUGGGAAAAUCCCUGUGGUAUGAUUUUUUUUCCUGAUCUCUUUCUGUUCAUUGUUUUUUAAGGUGAUGGAUUCCUACCUCAAGUAUUGAGAUAUAUUUAUAUAAGUUUUCAAAGUGAAAAAACUAGUGACGACUUGAUUAUUUAUAUCCUCAUUUUAUUGAAGUGGAAUAAAUUUUCUCCAUGGUUUUUUACUUUGGAGGGUUUUUCCACAUUAUAUUUGGUGUCCUUUUUUUGGUUGAAUUUUCUUGGAUUAUCAUUCUUGAUUCUUGCUAAGUUAUUAUUGUUGUUAAGUGGUGGUUGUUAUUAUGGAAUAAUCUUUUAACAUUGAUAGGUGAAUACUCUAGAUCUCUCCCUUUAACUUCUCAAUGAGUGGUAUUAGAGUCUCGUUCUGGGAACUUUUAUUCUUGAAAAGGAUGGAAAUAGAAGGGAACUCAAACUCCAUGAUAAAACUUAACAAUUCAAAUUGAGUUAUGUGGAAGUCCAUGAUGAAAGAUAUUUUAGAUACUCUUGAGUGUAAAGAAGGCAAGCCCAAAACAUAUUUCUAAUUUGGAAUAGAAUAAGAUGAACAAAAAGGCCAUGGUCUAUAUUAGGCGAUAGAUUGGCACAUCUUAACAUCAUCAUGCGGAAAAUGAAACAAAUGGCUAUAAUCUCUAGAAGAAAUUGGAGUCAAUUUUUGAACAAAAAUCUAUUGGGAAUCAAAUUUUCUUGUUAAAGAAGUUAGUGAAUAUGAAGUUAAAGGAAGGAACACUAAUGACAAAUCACUUGAAUGCUUUUUAGAGUAUUGUAAAUCAGUUGGUUUCUAUGAGAAUGAUUAUGGAUGAUGAGAUGCAAGCCUCUUUGUUAUUGUGUUCACUACUAGAUAGUUAGGCAACUUUUGUUGUCAUUAUUAGUAACUCUGUUUCAAAUGGUGCAUUAUCUAUGGAGCUUGUGAAGGGAAAUUUGUUGAAUGAAGAGACUAGAAAGAAGGCAUAUGACAAAAAAAAAUGCACAAUCCCUCAUCAUAGAAAGUAGAGGAAAAAACAAGAAUAGAAGAUUGAAGGUCAUGAAAAGUUCGAAGGGAGGUCCCAGUCCAAAGAUAAAAUCAAAUGUUUCCAUUGUGGAAAAGAGGGACAUAUGAAAAGAAAUUGUCGGAUUUGGAAAAGGGAACAAAAUAGGUAGAAUAAGAAAAAAGAGAAUGAUAAGAAUAUCACAACCAUUAUGUUCAAUAGUGAUGAAGUUUUAGUGCUCUCAAAUGAGUUUUUGCAUGUAGAUGAGCAAUGAGUUGAGUGGAUUGUAGACAUUGCAACCUCGUAUCAUGCUACUCCUCACUUCGAGUUGUUUUAUGACUAUAGAGUUUGAGACUUUGGCACAAUCAAGAUGGGAAACUCUAGUCACUCUAGGAUUAUAAGGAUGGGUGAUGUUUGCUUUGAAACCAAUAUUAUGGGGUGUAAGUUGACAUUGGAAGAUGUAAGGCAUGUUCCAGAUUUACGCUUUAAUCUGAUGUUAGGUUUUGCUUUGGACAAGCAAGGUUAUGAAACACUUAUAAGCCUAUACUAUCCAUGAACCAACAAUCAUUUUCAAGAACACACAUCCACACCUAGAGAAUAAUACGAUUUUUCCAUAUUCCUUCAAAUACACAUAAUUCACUUGCUUUCUCAUUUAAAAUAUUGAUGAUUACAUGAACAUAAGCUACACAAGAUAAAUGUUUUGAGUUGAGGAUCACUAAGUUGGCCUUUACAACAUAAGAGAUGUCCCAAUCUUCCAAUUGAGGCUUUUUACUCUUGAAGCACUACUAAGGUGUCAUAAUCAUUAUGGGAAACCUAAUUUUUUCUUUCCUUUCUUUUUUCUGUUUUUAUUUUUACUAAAAGAGAGGGCAAACAAUCAAGGAAGAAAAAAGCUCAAAGACUUAAGGAGAUUCUGGGUGACUUUGCUCACUCUUUAAUACUUACUAGAUAGAUAUAAGCUUGCAUUUAGACUAUAAAGAGCAUUACUCACCCUUUAUAUAACCACAAGCUCCAACAAUAAACUUUUACUCACUUAGAAGAUAUGUUGUUAAUCUUCUUUAGCUUAUCUAAUCAAAUCAAUUUAGCAAAGACUCAAAAUCAUGCUCAUCAAUCAACCCAUGGACAUGAAUAAUUCUUGAUUCUUUUAAGAUCAUUAUGAGUCAAUCUAACUUUUAUAUAAGAGGAAUAACCAUGUCACUCAUAUGGAUUUAUCAAUUUAAAAGAUCUCCCAACACAAAUUAUAUAAUUUUAGAAUUUUUCACAAUUUUUCCUUUUCUCUUCAAAUACUUUCCAAUAUAAAGUAAAGAUUAAAUGCAAGCAUGAAUGCAACAAUACUCUCCCAACAAUUUUCAAAUGUAAGUCAUAUGCGAAUGCAUUAACACUCCCCAACAUAGUUCAUAAGAAAAUUUUCUCAUUAACACAAGUUUUCAUUUCUAUUGAAUAACUCUAUCCAAAAAAUAUAUAUAUCUAGGAUAUCCAACUAAGAUCACACCUAAUUGUUCUUCUAUUCAACUUAUAUCCAUAAUUAUUAAAUGAAAAACUAAAACUGAAAAUACAUCAAGGAGUAGAAUAAGAAAAAGAGAGACAGUGAUACUAGAAUUUACGUGAAAGACCUCCAAAGAGAUUAAAAACCAUAGGCCUACAACUGAUAAAAAAUUCCACCAUGAAGAACAAGCAAUGUGUAUAAGGAUUUACUUAACUCAAGUACUCUAAUCAUUCACGGACUACUUGGCCAACACCUUCACAUUUCAGUUGCAUACCUUCAUCUUCUGAAACAUACUCAACAUCCUCACCAAGCUUGAUAUCGACAUUUUCUUGAAGCUCACUCAAGAAGAAAAUAGGUUUUCACCAAAACCCAAAUAGUUUGGAAAUUAGGAGAUGAAUGAACGAAGGAAUCAACCUUUUUUUUUCCUCAAGGAAAAUAACUAAAAACAACUUAAAAAUCAAGAAGAAAAUGAGAUUUUCUUGACAACGAAACACUCUAAAUAAGGUUAGAAGAAGAAAGCACACAAGGGAACGACUGCUGGUGACUCUCCUAUUUCAGGAAGCAAUUUUUGCUUUUUAAGUGAAAAGAAACCCUUGAUCCAAUGAAUGAAAUAAGAUAAAAAAAAAAAAAAAUAGAAACCUAAAUCGAUCUAACUUGAAGCCAAAUUGAUCUUGAAAAAUGACAUAUUGAAUACUUAGAAAAAAAAAAAAAA
rnacentral:lncRNA from 1 species